rnacentral:rRNA from 1 species
CAGUAGCCGCGGUAAUACGUAGGGCGCAAGCGUUGUCCGGAAUUAUUGGGCGUAAAGAGCUCGUAGGCGGUCUGUCGCGUCUGGUGUGAAAUCCCGAGGCUCAACCUCGGGCUUGCAUCGGGUACGGGCAGACUAGAGUGCGGUAGGGGAGACUGGAAUUCCUGGUGUAGCGGUGGAAUGCGCAGAUAUCAGGAGGAACACCGAUGGCGAAGGCAGGUCUCUGGGCCGCAACUGACGCUGAGGAGCGAAAGCAUGGGGAGCGAACAGGAUUAGAUACCCCUGUAGUCCCUGUCUCUUAUAU